AUCCGCUUGAUGGAAUGGUAGACAUGAGAGACUUAAAAUCCCUAUAUUAUAGGUUCAAAUCCUAUAGUGGAUA
rnacentral:tRNA from 1 species